rnacentral:rRNA from 1 species
AUUGAACGCUGGCGGCAUGCCUUACACAUGCAAGUCGAACGGCAGCACGGGGGCAACCCUGGUGGCGAGUGGCGAACGGGUGAGUAAUGCAUCGGAACGUGCCCCGUAGUGGGGGAUAACUAGUUGAAAGAUUAGCUAAUACCGCAUUCGACCUAUGGGUGAAAGCGGGGGAUUUGAAAGAACCUCGCGCUAUUGGAGCGGCCGAUGUUUGAUUAGCUAGUUGGCGGGGUAAAAGCCCCCCAAGGCUUCGAUCAGUAGCUGGUUUGAGAGGACGACCAGCCCCCCUGGGACUGAGACCCGGCCCCGACUCCUACGGGAGGCAGCAGUGGGGAAUUUUGGACAAUGGGCGCAAGCCUGAUCCAGCCCUGCCGCGUGCGGGAAGAAGGCCUUCGGGUUGUAAACCGCUUUUGGCAGGAACGAAACGGCGCGAGCGAAUAUCUCGCGUUAAUGACGGUACCUGCAGAAUAAGCACCGGCUAACUACGUG